UAUAGAUGGUGAAGGUGUUAUAGAUGGUGAAGGUGUUAUAGAUGGUAAAGGUGUUAUAGAUGGUGAAGGUGUUAUAGGUGGUACAGGUGUUAUAGAUGGUGAAGGUGUUAUAGAUGGUACAGGUGU